UAACACAGGUUCACUGGGAGAAUUCCACAGGCCAAUAGCAGACGGGAUAGUGUCUCUUAAUAGGCCAAUAAAACGAUAACACACUCCCAACCAGUGGUGGGCUAAGCACGCUGCUGGGCCAAGCAAGCGGAGACGACGGGAAGAAGGUCCAAACUUCGCGGAGGUGCGCACCUUUCCCGCGGUCGCAGCUCGGGCGGCAGAAGCUCGGGCCAACCCACCGCGGCCCCCGGCGGCCCGCGCAGCGCUAAGAGUCCCCGUUGCCAGGGCACGUUGCUAGGCGACGCGGGCACGGUUCAGAGAGGAUCUGCUUUUCGGGAGUUGCUGCACCGGUUUUUACCCGUGACGGUAAAAGAAGCACUUUUACCGGCAGGAGCUAGUUGCCCCAAGGCCUUCAGAGAGCUACUUAAAUGAGCAAAGUCUCCACGGCCAGACUGAACGCUCAGAUCGCGCUCGCAAGCUCUGGGUAUUUAUAGCCCAGUGCCCCCCGCCCCCCGCCCCAGAAGCGGCUUCAGUGCGUGUGUAUUGAGAAGCUGGGGGGGGGGGGGGGCUGGGCUGCGAUGCUGCAGAGAGGAGAGGAUGACAUCCUGUCACAGCUGACUUCACUCUUAAUCAAAACAACUUUCCUCGUAAAAGACAAUUUCAUUUUUGUCAUAAACAAGUGGAUCGCAAAUCAGAUCAAACCAACAGACAGCAGACAGGGACUGGACAGGAGCCCGCGUGGGGAGGGGAGCAGGGCCUAUCAAGAAGAAUCACACUGGAGGCAAAGAUAAGGAAUUUUAAAACACUCCGGAAAACUCUAAGGAGCCUGGUGAAGGAGGGGCGUCGACUGCGAUGGCUGGGUGCAGGGUGCAUUGGUGAGGACCAGGCAGGAGGCUUUUCCAGGGAUCACGCAGGCUUGAAGGGGACUUGAACCAAGAGGGAACAGGCUCGAGCCCCAAGCACUUUGCAUGGCCCAACCCUCUAGCACGUCUCCUGAAGCAGGAAGAAUGGCCAGACCAGGAGCUAAGACAUUUCCUCUGGGGAGAAAACUUGAAUCGGUCCACAGUUGGCUUCAGAUACCUGCAAUCGUGUCGGCAGGGAAGGGCAAAGCUGGAGAGGAAGAAACAGCAUGACUGGCAUCCAGCUGCCAAGGAGGACGGCCAACGAGGGCCAGGAUGGCUUGGACCAAUGUCACUGGUUCCACCACGGCAACCCAGAUGUUCCUCUCAGAGCCUAAGGACUACUUUUCCCAGGCUCUACCCCAUUCCCCACUCACAGUGGUGAGAAGAGAACAGUCUGUCGUGUUUUUAUGCUGUUCCAGUAAUUCCCAGCACGCUGCUGGGCCCACGUAUCAGUGGAUGACUCUUGAAGAUGUGAGGCAAUGCAGAGCCUGGGCACUGGGGAGGGUCCUGCCCAGGAAUCAGUCUACCAUUGAUAUAUCCCCCUGGGGACCAUCUCUAACCAGCUUCUCAGAGUGCAGUCCUGAGGCCGCCAGCAGCUGACCAAAGAGGAGGAG